GGCGAAGUAGCAAAGUGGUUACUGCGAUUGACUAGAAAUCAAUUCCCUUCGGGGGCGUAGGUUCGAAUCCUGCCUUCGGUU
rnacentral:tRNA from 1 species